rnacentral:rRNA from 1 species
GAUGAACGCUGGCGGCGUGCCUAAUACAUGCAAGUCGAGCGAACAGACGAGAGUGCUUGCACUCUCUGACGUUAGCGGCGGACGGGUGAGUAACACGUGGGUAACCUACCUAUAAGACUGGGAUAACUUCGGGAAACCGGAGCUAAUACCGGAUAAUAUUUAGCUUCGCAUGAAGCAAUAGUGAAAGACGGUUCUGCUGUCACUUAUAGAUGGACCCGCGGUGUAUUAGCUAGUUGGUGAGGUAACGGCUCACCAAGGCAACGAUACAUAGCCGACCUGAGAGGGUGAUCGGCCACACUGGGACUGAGACACGGCCCAGACUCCUACGGGAGGCAGCAGUAGGGAAUCUUCCGCAAUGGACGGAAGUCUGACGGAGCAAUGCCGCGUGAGUGAAGAAGGCUUUCGGAUCGUAAAACUCUGUUGUAAGGGAAGAACAAGUACGUUAGUAACUGAACGUACCUUGACGGUACCUUACCAGAAAGCCACGGCUAACUACGUG